rnacentral:rRNA from 1 species
UACGGAGGGUGCGAGCGUUGUCCGGAAUCACUGGGCGUAAAGGGCGCGUAGGUGGCGCGGCAAGUCGGCGGUGAAAGCCCGAGGCUCAACUUCGGGUCGGCCGUUGAUACUGCUGGGCUCGAGCACUGUAGAGGCAGAUGGAAUUCCGGGUGUAGCGGUGGAAUGCGUAGAGAUCCGGAAGAACACCGGUGGCGAAGGCGGUCUGCUGGGCAGUUGCUGACACUGAGGCGCGACAGCGUGGGGAGCAAACAGG